rnacentral:lncRNA from 1 species
UUUUGAUACAUGGGGUUAAUUUUGGAAAACACAGAAAAUACAAAAAAAAAACCUAAACCACAAAAACCCUAAAAAACACAGCAGCCGCCCCUCUCCUAAAAAAUCCCUAACACAGCCGCCCCCCCCCUUCCCCCGGAGUUUUGAUUUAUUUUUUGAUUACCCGAAAACCAAGCUGGACGCCCCCACCAUUUUGUGAUUUUUUUAUCUUCUUCUUCUAUUUCUCUCAACCAGACAACCCCCCGCCGCUCACCGUUUCCUUCUUUCAGCCCCCACAGACCAGCCACCACCUUCACCUCUCCCAGCCAGUUCCACCCUCUCCACACUCUCUCGGCCGGCUACACAGCAACAGCCCGCGUUCUCUUCGUCAUCUUCUUCAACCGAACAGCAGCAGGCGCCGCUGCCACCAACAGGGCCGGACAGCCUCUGGUCGCAACCCACCUACAGAACCCCAGAAUAGCCUCACUCCUCGAUUCUCCACCGACCCAGCCACCAUUCUCACCGGCUAAACGAUAGCAGCAACGAGAUCUGCCAGCGGUAGAAGGAAACCCAUCGCUGGAAACAAAAGACAAAAGGGGAAACAAAAAGAGACCCAGCAGCGGCCGCCACAAAAGCCCACCACUGCCAGAUCGGCCAUUGACAGAAGCCCAGCCACCGGUGACCCCUUGGUCUGACCGCCGCCUGAAACAGAGAAGGGAGAGGGCAGUGAAACUGGACUGAGCUAAAAAAAGGGAGACUGAAACCGAUCGAAAAAAAAAGGAAAAAAUUAAAAUCGACUGUGUUGUGCGUUUUCUGUUAUUGCAGGUAACGGCGAUCCUCACCGCCGGCGUUGGGAGAUUGAGAAGAGGGAGUCCAUCCAGCCCCCCCAGUUGUUGGGUUUUUCUUGCGGCGGCGCGUGAAUCCACGCGCCGCCAGUGGCGGUGGGGCGUGGAUCCACACGCCGGUACUGUUCAUACAGCCCCUAGAAGUCCUUCCCUGUAAUUUCUAGAGUUUUUAGGGACUAUUUUGUAAUUUUUAAAUUAAUUAAUGUAAUUUUUAUUUAUUUGUUUUGAUUUUGUAUUUGUAUUUGUAUUUGUAUUUGUAUUUGUAUUGUGAUGUAAAAGAAAAAGAAAAAGAAAAGAAAAAAUGAAUAAUAAAAAGAAAGUUG